GACGAACGCUGGCGGCGUGCUUAACACAUGCAAGUCGAACGAAGAGCGAUGGAAGCUUGCUUCUAUCAAUCUUAGUGGCGAACGGGUGAGUAACGCGUAAUCAACCUGCCCUUCAGAGGGGGACAACAGUUGGAAACGACUGCUAAUACCGCAUACGAUCUAAUCUCGGCAUCGAGGAUAGAUGAAAGGUGGCCUCUACAGGUCAGCUAUCACUGAAGGAGGGGAUUGCGUCUGGGGAGCUAGUUGGAGGUGUAACGGCCCACCCAGGCGAUGAUCAGUAGCCAGUCUGAGGGGAUGAACGGCCACAUAGGGAGUGAGACACGGCCCAGGCUCCGACGGGCGGCAGCAGUGGGGAAGCUUCCGCAAUGGACGAAAGUCUGACGGAGCAACGCCGCGUGAGCGAUGACGGCCUUCGGGUUGUAAAGCUCUGUUAAGCGGGACGAAAGGCCUUCUUGCGAAUAGUGAGAAGGAUUGACGGGACCGGAAUAGAACGCCACGGAUAACUACG
rnacentral:rRNA from 1 species